rnacentral:rRNA from 1 species
GAUGAACGCUAGCUACAGGCCUAACACAUGCAAGUCGCGGGGCGGCAUGGGUGUUGAUUCCUCCCACAAAUGGCGGCCGGCGCAGGGGCGCGUAACCCACCUACACUCUGCCCUUCGCUACCGCACAGCCAGGCGGAAUUAUGCCCCAUACCGUUUCUUAUCCAUUUACUUAAUCAGUUAAAGCCGCAAGGCGUUGUAGGGUGGGCGUGCGUCCGAUUAGCUAGACGGCGAGGUAACGGCACACCGUGGCUAUGAUCGGUAGGGGUUCUGAGAGGAAGAUCCCCCACACUGGAACUGAGACACGGGCCAGACUCCUACGGGAGGCAGCAGUGAGGAAUAUUGGUCAAUGGGCGAAAGCCUGAACCAGCCAAGUAGCGUGCAGGAAGACGGCCCUAUGGGUUGUAAACUGCUUUUAGGAGGGGAUAAAGUGGCCGACGUGUGGGUUUUUGCAGGUACCGCAUGAAUAAGGACCGGCUAAUUCCGUG